rnacentral:rRNA from 1 species
GUAACACGUGAGUAACCUGCCCUUAACUCUGGGAUAAGCCUUGGAAACGGGGUCUAAUACUGGAUAUUGACUUUUCACCGCAUGGUGGUUGGUUGAAAGAUUUAUUGGUUUUGGAUGGACUCGCGGCCUAUCAGCUUGUUGGUGAGGUAAUGGCUCACCAAGGCGACGACGGGUAGCCGGCCUGAGAGGGUGACCGGCCACACUGGGACUGAGACACGGCCCAGACUCCUACGGGAGGCAGCAGUGGGGAAUAUUGCACAAUGGGCGCAAGCCUGAUGCAGCGACGCCGCGUGAGGGAUGACGGCCUUCGGGUUGUAAACCUCUUUCAGUAGGGAACAAGGCCAGUGUUUAGCUGGUUGAGGGUACUUGCAGAAGAAGCGCCGGCUAACUGCGCAGGCGGUCAUUUAAGUCUGGGUAGGGCGCAAGCGUUAUCCGGAAUUAUUGGGCGUAAAGAGCUCGUAGGCGGUUUGUCGCGUCUGCCGUGAAAGUCCGGGGCUCAAC